CCUACGGGCGGCAGCAGUAGGGAAUCUUUCACAAUGGGCGAAAGCCUGAUGGAGCAACGCUGCGUGCAGGAUGAAGGCCUUCGGGUUGUAAACUGCUUUUAUAAGCGAGAAAUAUGAUGGUAACUUAUGAAUAAGGAUCGGCUAACUACGUGCCAGCAGCCGCGGUCAUACGUAGGAUCCGAGCAUUAUCCGGAGUGACUGGGUGUAAAGAGUUGCGUAGGUGGCAUAAUAAGUAGCUAGUGAAAUCUGGUGGCUCAACCAUUCAGACUAUUAGCUAAACUGUUAAGCUCGAGACCGUUAGGGGUAACUGGAAUUUCUAGUGUAGGAGUGAAAUCCGUAGAUAUUAGAAGGAACACCAAUAGCGUAGGCAGGUUGCUGGGACGGUUCUGACACUAAGGCACGAAAGCGUAGGGAGCAAACGGGAUUAGAUACCCGAGUAGUC
rnacentral:rRNA from 1 species